rnacentral:tRNA from 1 species
GGAGGGUUACCGAAGUGGUCAUAACGGGGCGGUCUUGAAAACCGUUUGGGGGCAACCCCACAAGAGUUCGAAUCUCUUACCCUCCG